GGUGGCCUAACCCUUUGGGAGGGAGCCGUCGAAGGUGGGAUCGGCGAUUGGGACGAAGUCGUAACAAGGUAGCCGUACCGGAAGGUGCGGCUGGAUCACCUCCUUU
rnacentral:ncRNA from 1 species